rnacentral:lncRNA from 1 species
UAGAUAAGAAAAAAACUUCAUGCAACAGCAGUGUGGAGAAUACAGAAUGGAGAACACAUGGGGGAUACAGAACACAUGAAGUUUUGCAUGUUUCAUCUUGUGGGACUUCUUGUUCCAUCCAGGCAUGAGAGACUUCUCUGUCUGUGCAGGUAUUAGAACCUUCGGCUUGGGCUACAAUGCUAGCUGUGCUUUGGCUACAUGAGAAUGGCAAGGAAUUGAAGGAGGAGUGGGAGCUUCUGGAAAGAAAGGCUGUGGUUUGGCUUCACAAAAAUGCAGUCGAAGGUUUCACCAAGGCCAUGGAUACUGCCAACAAGUUCUUGAAGACAUCAUUGAGUCCCUCCAUCUUCAAUUUAUGAGAGUGGUGCCUGGGAGAAGGGCAUUCUUUCCUGCCUCCUAUCACAUCCUUCACCUUGUCCGUUAAGAUAGAUUUGUGUCUUGGGUACCUUACGACCUGUAUCAUACUAUAAAAGUAAAGGAUGAGCACAUGGCUUUGGCUAUCUAUUGUAGGUCCCACUG